rnacentral:rRNA from 1 species
GAUGAACGCUGGCGGCGUGCAUAACACAUGCAAGUCGAACGGGGAAACUUAAAUUUUUUCUUCGGGGUGGGCUUAAGGGGGUAAGUGGGGGUCGGGUGAGUAACACGUGAGUAACCUGCCUUACACAAGGGGUUAACCGUUGGAAACGACGAAUAGUACCCUAUUACACUAUCACUUCGCAUUGAGCGAUAGUCAAAGUGUUAGCGGUGUAAGAUGGACGUGCGUCUGAUUAGCUAGUUGGUGAGAAAAAAGCCCACGAAGGCAACGAUCAGUAGCCGGCUUGAGGGGGCGCAGGGCAGCAUCGGAACGGAGGCACGGCCGAGACUUAUACGGGAGGCAGCAGAAGGGAAUUGUGCACAAUGGGCGAGACCCAGAGGCAGCGACGCCGUGUGAUCUAGAAGGACUUCGGGUUGUAAACCUGUUCUGUAUAGGAAGAAAAUGACAGUACUAGACGAAUAAGCGCCGGCUAAUUACGUG